ensembl:lincRNA
GAUGUCACACUAAAGAGGGCAUGCGAUUUUUGUAGUCGAGGACACAGGCUGUUGAAUCUGCACUUUACCUCAACGUGUUUCUCGAUAUUUGACAGCUGCUGAGUCAACAUCCUGUUAGACCUGUUAGGCCACGCUCCCCUAGGUGAUGUCACACUAAAGAGGGCAUGCGAUUUUUGUAGUCGAGGACACAGGCUGUUGAAUCUGCACUUUACCUCAACGUGUUUCUCGAUAUUUGACGGCUGCUGAGUCAACAUCCUGUUAGACCUGUUAGGCCACGCUCCCCUAGGUGAUGUCACACUAAAGAGGGCAUGCGAUUUUUGUAGUCGAGGACACAGGCUGUUGAAUCUGCACUUUACCUCAACGUGUUUCUCGAUAUUUGACGGUAGUGAUCAAAACAUGUCUGAAGAGCCACGCAACAAAAACCUGAAGCAGACAGACCUUCUGAGUCCUAAAAAGGAGAUUAACACAGACAGUGAAAAUGAGGAGUCUUCACAUGCUGGGAUCACUAAUCAGGAAACGAUGGCUCCCACACCAAAGCUAGAAGAGAACUACUCCAAACACCCACAACAGGAAAUGAUGGCUCAAUCAUCAAAGCCAGAAGAGAAAUACUCCAAACACCCACAACAGAGAGCAGAAGAACAAGAACACACUUUCAAAUUUUGUUUCGACUCUGAUCCUGAUCCAGUUGUUGUGGAAUGUAACACAUCCAUGACUGUGCUGGCUGCUCUUGAACAAAAAGAAAUAUUUCAGAAUAACAAGAGUAUUAGAGACACCAAGAAAGAGAUGGUAAUCAAGCGAGCUAAUGGAGCUGCUGUGAAAACAGAUUUCCCAUGCUGUCUUAUUAAAAAGGAUGAGACCUUAACCAUAUUCUUCAUCAAAACGGAAAAGAAAAAGAAAGAGACACAAGCAAUACCUUCUUUACCUAGAACGGACCUAGUCAAGUUCUACAUUAAAACAACAGGAAAGGAGAAAUUGAUGUACAUAAUAAAAAGCAAUGAACUAAGAAACAAAGUUGAUUAUGUAUGUGUUUGUGGAUUAGAAGAAGAACAAACUGAAACUGCUCUAAAGCGUGAUGGACGAUUCAAUGAAAAAAUAUUCCAGAAACUCUGUGUCCUGUCACUAGUGUCUGAAUGUACUGGUAAACAAUCAAGAUAUGAAAUGUCCAACUCUGUUAAGCGUCUUAGAAACAAGAGAUUUGAGAUCAUUGCUAUUAAUGACAAACGGCCUGACUGCCAAAUGAAACUAAACACAAUCAAGACUGAAAAUGCAUCAGAUGUUGAUUAUGAGAAAUAUGAUCUGAGACAACCUACAACCAGCAGUGAACAAGGAACAAUCCAAGAGAGGGAUACAAAAUCACCAGGUCCUCCAUCUACAGGCCAAGUAACUCAGAACCCUUCUGGGGAUUUUGGAGGAUUGUUCUACACUGAGAUUAAAGAGUUUCUGCAGACUUCAUUUGAAAAUAUAAUGAAGAAGCUAAAACAGCGAAAGAACCCCCAGGUUCAGAAGUUCUUCCAAGAAGAUUACGAUAAAGGCAUUCAGUGUUUCACUGAGGUGAACAAAGUGAAGCAGAUCAUGACACUCUCUGACUCUGUGUGUAUGAUUCUAGUUGAUAAUUGUGCCACUGGAACAGGCUUCCUAGCCUUUGACAGAUUCAUCCUUACUAAUGCUCAUGUCAUUAAGGACUUUGUUAAUUGUGACACUCUUAAACUUUCACGGCCUCUGAAAGCUGUAUUUAAUUUUGAGGUUGUAGGAUCUGCGACAAAAGUUCUGUCAGUUAAAGAUGACAUAAUUGCUUGUGGUUUUGAGCUUGAUGAGAGACGCAGAUUCUAUGAUUUCGCACUUCUUGAAUUGGAAGCUACACCUGAUAACUGUCCCCAAUUGUUCAAACGUUAUAUACAUUCCCCUCCUCCAAACUGUGGUGGGAUCUACAUUGUGGGACACCCAGGUUGUGGAGUCAAGAAGAUGGACCCCUGCUUCAUUAUUGAGCCUGAGAAACAACUCCAGAGUAUAAACAAACACAUAUCUGACAAUAUGUCCUGCCCAUAUGUAUCACUGCAAGUCCUGCCGUAUCUGCAUCAGAAUAGGAUAACCUAUGACACUUGUAUGUUUCAUGGAUCUUCUGGCUCCCCGGUGUUUGAUGAACACUGCUAUCUGAUUGGAAUGCAUACUGGUGGCUUUCAUUAUAAAGAUCAAAAUAACACAGAUAGGAGUGUUAUAGAAUAUGCCUAUUCCAUGCAGUCUAUCGUGAAAGGCAUUGUCGAACAUGUCAGGUCAAGGAGACAUGACAUCUUAAAUUUACUUUCUGAGUUUGAUUCAAUUAAAGCACAGUUUAAACUUGAGAAGACUGAAGAUACAACUGGAGCAAU